UACGGGGGAUCCAAGCGUUAUCCGGAAUUACUGGGCGUAAAGAGUUGCGUAGGUGGCAUGGAAAGCGAGCAGUGAAAGCACCCCGCUCAACGGGGUAAACAUUGCUUGAACUACCAAGCUAGAGGAUGAGAGAGGUAGAUGGAAUUCCUAGUGUAGGGGUAAUAUCCGUUGAUAUUAGGAGGAACACCGAUGGCGUAAGCAGUCUACUGGCUCAUUUCUGACACUCAGGCACGAAAGCAUGGGGAGCAAACAGG
rnacentral:rRNA from 1 species